rnacentral:rRNA from 1 species
UAGGGAAUUUCGGCAAUGGGGGGAAUGACCGAGCAACGCCGCUUGAGUGAAGAAGGUUUUCGGAUCGUAAAGCUCUGUUGUUAAGGAAGAACGAGUGUGAGAAUGGAAAGUUCAUACUGUGACGGUACUUAACCAGAAAGGGACGGCUAACUACGUGCCAGCAGCCGCGGUAAUACGUAGGUCCCGAGCGUUGUCCGGAUUUAUUGGGCGUAAAGCGAGCGCAGGCGGUUAGAUAAGUCUGAAGUUAAAGGCAGUGGCUCAACCAUUGUAGGCUUUGGAAACUGUUUAACUUGAGUGCAGAAGGGGAGAGUGGAAUUCCAUGUGUAGCGGUGAAAUGCGUAGAUAUAUGGAGGAACACCGGUGGCGAAAGCGGCUCUCUGGUCUGUAACUGACGCUGAGGCUCGAAAGCGUGGGGAGCGAACAGGAUUAGAUACCCUGGUAGUCCACGCCGUAAACGAUGAGUGCUAGGUGUUAGGUCCUUUCCGGGACUUAGUGCCGCAGCUAACGCAUUAAGCACUCCGCCUGGGGAGUACGACCGCAAGGUUG